AUACCUUUCUCGGCCUUUUGGCUAACAUCAAGUGUAGUAUCUGUUUUUAUCAGUUUAAUAUCUGAUAUGUGGGCCAUGUGCCCAUAAUGAUAUUAAAUUUAUAUUUUGUGGGGAGGGUCCAUCACAAUGGCUUGCCAUUGGGGCCCUCGUGUGUUGCCUAGGUGUUGCGCUAUUGCCUGACGCACCCCAGCCAAA
rnacentral:snRNA from 2 species